UCCAGCAGCCAUAUCACUCUGCAACUCACUAGCAACCCACUGAAGCUAAGCACAUGUGAGCCUGGUCAGUACCUGGAUGGGAGACCUCCUGGGAGAAACUAAGGUUGCUGCUGGAA
rnacentral:rRNA from 1 species